rnacentral:rRNA from 1 species
GAAACUACGAAAGGUAAUUGGACGGGGCCCGCACAGCGGAGGAACAUGUGGUUUAAUUCGAUGAUACGCGAGGAACCUUACCUGGGUCUUAAAUGUAGAGUGCUAUUUUUUAGUAGAUAGAAAUUCCCUUUCGGGGCUUUCUGCAAGGUGCUGCAUGGUUGUCGUCAGCUCGUGCCGUGAGGUGUCGGGUUAAGUCCCAUAACGAGCGCAACCCCUAUUGAUAGUUACCAGCACGUAAUGGUGGGGACUCUAUCGAGACUGCCGGUGUAAACCGUGAGGAAGGUGGGGAUGACGUCAAAUCAGCACGGCCCUUACAUCCAGGGCUACACACGUGUUACAAUGGCCGGUACAAAGGGCAGCUACUCCGCGAGGAGAUGCGAAUCUUAAAAACCGGUCUCAGUUCGGAUCGAAGUCUGCAACCCGACUUCGUGAAGCUGGAUUCGCUAGUAAUCGUAUAUCAGCCAUGAUACGGUGAAUACGUUCCCGGGCCUU